rnacentral:misc_RNA from 1 species
UUGUACAAAUUGAAUUAUCACAUGAUGAGUUGGCAUUAGCUUCUCCAGGCAUGGGAACUUAACAGAUGAGGUUAAGAACCGUAGACAGUUUAAAAUCCAUUUAUGUUGCUUUCACAGCUGGAGUUUUUUUGGACCUUAACUUGAAAUAUAAGACAAUCAAUGCAAUGCUUCCAUAUGUGGCCAGUACACAGUUCAUUCUACCUGUGAGAGUAUAAGAGUUGAAAUAUUUUUUAAUACCAGUGAACUGGUAUUGCGCAUCACUUUCUGGACCUGCCAUGAUUUCAAUCUGCCAAAGCCGCAAAUUCCGCAGCUGGUGUCCUUCAACGAAUGUAACCACCUCUCG